GGGGAAUCUUCCGCAAUGGGCGAAAGCCUGACGGAGCAAUACCGCGUGAGGGAGGAAGGCUCUUGGGUCGUAAACCUCUUUUCUCAGGGAAGAACACAAUGACGGUACCUGAGGAAUAAGCAUCGGCUAACUCCGUGCCAGCAGCCGCGGUAAUACGGAGGAUGCAAGCGUUAUCCGGAAUGAUUGGGCGUAAAGCGUCCGCAGGUGGCGAUGUAAGUCUGCUGUUAAAGAGUGAGGCUCAACCUCAUAAGAGCAGUGGAAACUACAUAGCUAGAGUACGUUCGGGGCAGAGGGAAUUCCUGGUGUAGCGGUGAAAUGCGUAGAGAUCAGGAAGAACACCAGUGGCGAAGGCGCUCUGCUAGGCCGUAACUGACACUGAGGGACGAAAGCUAGGGGAGCGAAAGGGAUUAGAUACCCCUG
rnacentral:rRNA from 1 species